GAAGCAUACAAGCUAUUAUAUAUUUUCAUAAUAUAGAACUUUAAGGUAUAGUAAUCAACAGUGGCAAAAUAUUUCUGUCUUUGACAUUAUUUUUUCGUGAGAUCCAACCUGUAAUUGAGACCAGAGAAAACAGUAUGGAGAAACAAAUCCAGGAGAACAGGAUAAAAAUAUCAUGAACAGCAAAAUAUGUCUGAGUAUUUAAAACCGUAUAGAAAAAAUAAAUUAGAUGAACAAUUGUGUAAAUAUAAAUUAAAAAAAGAUGACAUUCUUAAUAAAUAAAGUUUACUAUUUACAUUUUUAUAUAUUGCUGAAAGACUUAACUUAGAUCCAUAAAAACACAUAAACAGGAAAAAAUAAAACCCAAAAAAGGAGCAGCAAAUUUAUGCGCGUGAGGUACAGAAAAAGGAUUGGAGUUGUGUUUUGUUUUUGGUGAUUAGAUUAUUUUCUUUCUUUUUUUUUUCUUUUCUCUCUUUUUUUUUUUUAUAGUAGGCCAGUAGAAUUUUCUUGAGAACAGAUUUUUAAGCAUGUCAAUGGAGAGUCAUUUUUGGUAAUUUCCAGAAGAUGCCAAACAGAUUUCAACAUCAUCAUCAUUAGAAAUACCCAUAAUAAUUAUAACAAUAAUAAAAAGGUAUAAUAUGAUACAUAAAUAUGGAAGAGCCGCUUGUAAUAUGAAUACAUUUUCUCUAGACGAGAUCACAGUUUUAUUUUGUAAAUAUUACAUUUAAGUAUAUAUAUACACACAUAUAUGUACAACUAUAUAUACAUGUGCAUAUAUAUGUAAAUUUAUAUUUAUAUAUAAUAUCUUUAUAUAGAUAGAUAUCUGUGGACAGGUUAUUGAUUAUAGAGACCCAAGAAAGCAAGUCAAUUAAUUGUUCAAACUUCUCCUCACUGACUGCUGGUGUAGAAUUUAAGAAGCCCCGAGUUUGCACUCAGAAUGCCGUAUCUUCUUUUAAUGGAACACUCAAUGUGGAAUUUUAAGUCUGAGAAGAAAAAGAGAGCUAAGGGACUCCCUUCCUCUGUAAAGUUGGAAGUGGCCUGGAAGUCUUGAAUAAACGGUAAACUGACUUUUACACUGUAGGAAGUCACUGUUUGUUUUGUUAAUCAAAUUAUAGAACUGGUAAAGGCCCGAAUAAGGGGGAGAAAGUCCAACUUAUCUAUAAGGAAAAUAUUCUCAAAUGCAAGCCUCUCUCAAGGUGGGUUCUAAUCUAGGAGCUCACUCCCAUUCCUUGAAAUACCAAAUGAGCACUCCCUGUCUUUCUUACGUGGCCAAUGGGCCUGUGCAUUCUUGAAAAAUAACCCAUAGACUUUGCGUCAGGCUCUCACAGAUUGGCUCUCGUAGAUUGCCACAGCCCCUUAGAAGCCCCAGGGCCUCACAAUCCCCUGCCCUCCCACUGUGAGGUAGGUUAAGUAGUAUUAUCCCCAUUUUGCAGCUGGAGAAACUGAGGCAAAUGGAGAGGCAAUAUCAUGACUUGUUUAAGAUCACUGAGCAAACUGCUGCCUGGAGUCAAGAAUUCGGUGUUCCCACUCAAGGGACAUAAUUCCUCUCUUGGCUAUUACACAUUGCUCUUCAAGAUCGAGCAAUUGGGAGGAAUUUGGCAAAACGUGAGCAGAUUGCCAGGAACAGGCUUGGAUUCUUCUGCUGUUCAGUUUCAUGUCUGCUGUUUGGUUUGUUCUGUUUCCCGAAAACCGUGGGCAUUACCUGUCCGGUCAUGUAGCAGCUCCUUAGGAAAGUGGGCUGUGCAGUGUGAUUCUAAGUGCAGCUUCAUAAAGCCCAGUGCU
ensembl:lncRNA